UACAGAGGUCUCAAGCGUUGUUCGGAUUCAUUGGGUACGGUAAAGGGUGCGUGAGGUGGUGGGGUAAGUCAGGUGUGAAAUCUCGGGGCUCAAACCCCGAAACUGCACUUGAUACUGCCUUGCUCGAGUACUGGAGAGGAGAUUGGAAUUUACGGUGUAGCAGUGAAAUGCGUAGAUAUCGUAAAGGAAGACCAGUGGCGAAGGCGAGUCUCUGGACAGUUACUGACGCUGAGGCACGAAGGCCAGGGGAGCAAACGGG
rnacentral:rRNA from 1 species